GUGCCAGCAGCCGCGGUAAUACGUAGGGUGCGAGCGUUAAUCGGAAUUACUGGGCGUAAAGCGUGCGCAGGCGGCUUUGCAAGACAGAGGUGAAAUCCCCGGGCUCAACCUGGGAACUGCCUUUGUGACUGCAAGGCUAGAGUACGGCAGAGGGGGAUGGAAUUCCGCGUGUAGCAGUGAAAUGCGUAGAUAUGCGGAGGAGCACCGAUGGCGAAGGCAAUCCCCUGGGCCUGUACUGACGCUCAUGCACGAAAGCGUGGGGAGCAAACAGGAUUAGAU
rnacentral:rRNA from 1 species